GAUGAACGCUGGCGGCGUGCCUAAUACAUGCAAGUCGAGCGAACAGACGAGGUGCUUGCUCCUCUGACGUUAGCGGCGGACGGGUGAGUAACACGUGGAUAACCUACCUAUAAGACUGGGAUAACUUCGGGAAACCGGGGCUAAUACCGGAUAAUAUAUUGAACCGCAUGGUUCAAUAGUGAAAGACGGUUUUGCUGUCACUUAUAGAUGGAUCCGCGCCGCAUUAGCUAGUUGGUAAGGUAACGGCUUACCAAGGCAACGAUGCGUAGCCGACCUGAGAGGGUGAUCGGCCACACUGGAACUGAGACACGGUCCAGACUCCUACGGGAGGCAGCAGUAGGGAAUCUUCCGCAAUGGGCGAAAGCCUGACGGAGCAACGCCGCGUGAGUGGUGAAGGUCUUCGGAUCGUAAAACUCUGUUAUUAGGGAAGAACAAAUGUGUAAGUAACUAUGCACGUCUUGACGGUACCUAAUCAGAAAGCCACGGCUAACUACGUG
rnacentral:rRNA from 1 species